GAGGCUUAACACAUGCAAGUCGAGGGGCAUCAGGAAGAUAGCUUGCUUUCUUUGCUGGCGACCGGCGCACGGGUGAGUAACACGUAUCCAACCUGCCCUUUACUCGGGGAUAGCCUUUCGAAAGAAAGAUUAAUACCCGAUAGCAUAAUGAUUCCGCAUGGUUUCAUUAUUAAAGGAUUCCGGUAAAGGAUGGGGAUGCGUUCCAUUAGGUUGUUGGUGGGGUAACGGCCCACCAAGCCUUCGAUGGAUAGGGGUUCUGAGAGGAAGGUCCCCCACAUUGGAACUGAGACACGGUCCAAACUCCUACGGGAGGCAGCAGUGAGGAAUAUUGGUCAAUGGGCGCUAGCCUGAACCAGCCAAGUAGCGUGAAGGAUGAAGGCUCUAUGGGUCGUAAACUUCUUUUAUAUAAGAAUAAAGUGCAGUAUGUAUACUGUUUUGUAUGUAUUAUAUGAAUAAGGAUCGGCUAACUCCGUGCCAGCAGCCGCGGUAAUACGGGGGAUCCGAGCGUUAUCCGGAUUUAUUGGGUUUAAAGGGAGCGUAGGUGGACUGGUAAGUCAGUUGUGAAAGUUUGCGGCUCAACCGUAAAAUUGCAGUUGAUACUGUCAGUCUUGAGUACAGUAGAGGUGGGCGGAAUUCGUGGUGCAGCGGUGAAAUGCUUAGAUAUCACGAAGAACUCCGAUUGCGAAGGCAGCUCACUGGACUGCAACUGACACUGAUGCUCGAAAGUGUGGGUAUCAAACAGGAUUAGAUACCCUGGUAGUCCACACAGUAAACGAUGAAUACUCGCUGUUUGCGAUAUACAGUAAGCGGCCAAGCGAAAGCAUUAAGUAUUCCACCUGGGGAGUACGCCGGCAACGGUGAAACUCAAAGGAAUUGACGGGGGCCCGCACAAGCGGAGGAACAUGCGGUUUAAUUCGAUGAUACGCGAGGAACCUUACCCGGGCUUAAAUUGCAGUGGAAUGAUGUGGAAACAUGUCAGUGAGCAAUCACCGCUGUGAAGGUGCUGCAUGGUUGUCGUCAGCUCGUGCCGUGAGGUGUCGGCUUAAGUGCCAUAACGAGCGCAACCCUUAUCUUUAGUUACUAACAGGUCAUGCUGAGGACUCUAGAGAGACUGCCGUCGUAAGAUGUGAGGAAGGUGGGGAUGACGUCAAAUCAGCACGGCCCUUACGUCCGGGGCUACACACGCGUUACAAUGGGGGGUACAGAAGGCAGCUAGCGGGUGACCGUAUGCUAAUCCCAAAAGCCUCUCUCAGUUCGGAUCGAAGUCUGCAACCCGACUUCGUGAAGCUGGAUUCGCUAGUAAUCGCGCAUCAGCCACGGCGCGGUGAAUACGUUCCCGGGCCUUGUACACACCGCCCGUCAAGCCAUGGGAGCCGGGGGUACCUGAAGUACGUAACCGCAAGGAUCGUCCUAGGGUAAAACUGGUGACUGGGGCUA
rnacentral:rRNA from 1 species